ensembl:snoRNA U3 Small nucleolar RNA U3
CAGCCCUCAGGGAUCAUUUCUAUAGUAUGUUACUAGAGAAGUUUGUCUGACUGUGUAGAGCACUGGAAAGCACGUGGAGGAGGCGCAGCAUUCUCUCCUGAGUGUGCAGCCAGGUCUCGAGGUUGUUCUGCUGCCUCUGCCACGGGCAUUGAUGAUCGUUCCUGCUGUCCUUCGGGGGAGAUGGGAGGGAGAGGAUGCAUUUGGAGUGGC